rnacentral:rRNA from 1 species
CCUACGGGAGGCAGCAGUGGGGAAUAUUGCUCAAUGGGGGAAACCCUGAUGCAGCGACGCCGCGUGAGUGAAGAAGUAAUUCGUUAUGUAAAGCUCUAUCAGCAGGGAAGAAAAUGACGGUACCUGACUAAGAAGCCCCGUCUAACUACGUGCCAGCAGCCGCGGUAAUACGUAGGGGGCGAGCGUUAUCCGGAUUCACUGGGUGUAAAGGGAGCGUAGACGGCCAUGCAAGCCAGGGGUGAAAGGCCGGGGCCCAACCCCGGGACUGCCCUUGGAACUGUGCGGCUAGAGUGCGGGAGGGGUAGGCGGAAUUCGUGGUGUAGCGGUGAAAUGCGUAGAUAUCAGGAGGAACACCGGCGGCGAAGGCGGCCUGCUGGACUGCGACUGACGUUGAGGCUCGAAAGCGUGGGGAGCGAACAGGAUUAGAUACCCUUGUAGUC